rnacentral:lncRNA from 12 species
GGCUUAUUAAAUGCAAAACGUGUACACUCUUUACUGAAUAAUAAAUAGAUGAAGCAAACAGCCCCUGAGGCCAACUAGGAAGAAAGACAACAGGGACAGUGGACACGGACACAGGCUAAAAAGAAAACAUGGUGCAAAGCCAGAGGUGCCUGUUGGCUGUCCAAAUCUAGGGCUCCACACAAAGGUGACCUCCUGACAAGUUGAGCAAAGGAGGCUCAUGGGGGCACACCAGGGGUGUACUUGGAAGUCAAACCACACUUGCAAGAUAAGGAAAAGCAUGAUUUGUUAUUGUCUGCAAAUAAGUGGAUCUCUACUACACUGAAAAUGAAUGUAAAAUAGGGAUAGUCUCUGCUGCCCAGGCAUUCAGCAUGCCAAUUAGAAAACCAGGGGCAGGGGCAACAUGAGGAGGUGCCAUGUAGUUUUAUGAAUGUUCCCCUGUCUCUGGGCAGACACUUGUGGGCCCUAGUGAGGACAUAAUGGAUGGUGAGUGAGCUUCAUGCCCUCCUCCGCACAGGAGGUGAUGCCCAUGAAGCCAAGGGCCAGAAGCGCUUGGAGGAUUAGAAAAUGGACAUUUUCCUUCUGUUCUUAAACCAUUCCGUGAACAGCUGGGUACCGAGAAAAUGAGCAGGUGAUUUCAGAUUUACGAAGCUGCAUCCUGACCCCCUAGGCAGAGCCUUUGAGAAGAGAAGGUGGGAGGCUGACAGAGAUAGGUAGAUGUGGGCAUCUGAACCCAAAACAGUAGCUCUGAUUACAUAUGGACCCUUGAACCAGCUGCUAGAAAGGGCUGCCAUGGUGCCAGGAAACUGUCCCUCUCUCAGCGUGGAGAAGCCAGGCAUGAAUGCAUUUGCUUUGGAAAAAGACACAUGUAUCUUAGAAACCUAUCAAAAAUAUGUGAAUCCAGCUACCUUGCCAAUCUCAGCUUUCCACACUCCCCCUGGCCCACCUCUCUUUUAACCUUUGCCUGAGAAGAAUUUAAAUGGCAUAUUUAGUCACUACAUAUUGUGCUUCCUGUACCCGAUGCUGCACAAAAGGGAUUGAUUUAAAUCAUUUACAGUAACCGUGUGGAGGAGGAGGGUCCGGUUUUCUGCACCAAAUGCUCUUGGAUCCUUAAUGAGCAGCCAAAAUUACAGACAACAAAUGAAUACACUUGUAUUUGUCUCUUCUUGGGUAAAGAAUUAUUCUUUAGUGAAAACUUAUUGCAUAUUUACAGCAUUCAACAAAAAUGCAGCUCAGAUAUGUGAGCAGAGAUAAAGGAUGCUUAACCCUCCAUCUCCCAGGAAACGAGUCUCUGGCUUUAAAAAGUCAGAGAAUGUUCCUAUUAUAAUUUUUUUUUAAUCAUGGAAUUUAUAACACCUCACAAAGCAGGAAUGGACCAAGUCUAAAGGUUACAGCUGAGAGCCACUAAAGCUUUAGGAGCAACCAUUGUUAAUAAUAAUCAGCUGAAAGCAGAACACAGCUCACCCUUCAGAGCUUCACUCAAACAUUUAGCAUUUCUAAAGCUCUAGAGCCUUUGACAAGGUAGGCAUAAAUCAGGGGGGGAUUUAAAUUCCUGAUUUUCUGGCAUUUUCAAGCUAUAAAUCCCACACGUUCCUAAAACCACAUCAUCCCAUAAUCAGAGCUGAGGCCCAGAGUGAGGUCUGACUGCAGCUCAAGUCAAAUUGGAAUAAGGGGCUCCUGCUUCGGCUCUGGGCCUUAAAACAAUUCUCGCUGAAGGACAGUUAAAGAUUUUUUUUUUAAGCCUUCUGAAGUGAAGCCAAGAGGGGAUUACAUUUAUCCCAACACUCUACCAGACCUUUCUCAUCUUUGAAUAUAGCCACCUCUGGAUUUUUCUAGAAGAUCCUUUUAAUCCAUGUCUACAUACUCCAAAUGGUUUGCAUAGUCAGAGGUAAGGGAACAAUUGAAAAGGGCCUGUAAUUGAAUGAAGUCAAUUCAUAGUUUCUCAAAGUGGGCUCAA